rnacentral:rRNA from 1 species
UACGAAGGGGGCUAGCGUUGCUCGGAAUUACUGGGCGUAAAGGGCGCGUAGGCGGACAGUUUAGUCAGAGGUGAAAGCCCGGGGCUCAACCUUGGAAUUGCCUUUGAUACUGGCUGUCUUGAGUUCGGGAGAGGUGAGUGGAAUGCCGAGUGUAGAGGUGAAAUUCGUAGAUAUUCGGCGGAACACCAGUGGCGAAGGCGACUCACUGGCCCGAUACUGACGCUGAGGCGCGAAGGCGUGGGGAGCGAACGGG